GGACGUAAUAAUCCUACAGCAGAAAUGUUUCACAACCUCGUCAAAAUUGGCGAUUGCAGCUGAUGUCAUGCAGGGAGCUGAAGACGUGACAUAUUCAGACAGAGACCAUAUUACAUAUAGACUGUUACAUGAUCUCUGAUUCAGGUGUCAAGAAUCAAGAACAAAUUAAAUGACAGAAGUUUUGCAACAGUGAACAUAGUGAAGUGGAAGAAAAGACAUUUGAAAGGACUUGGAUUUCACAAUCUGACACCAGCUACAUUUAAGAAGAUCUUGCUCAGACAUGUCAGACAAGGGACUUGCCGGAUGAUGAACAAUCCUCCCGAUAACAACCAACAGAUUCACAUCAGAAAGUGAUGAUUCUGAAUGAAUAAUGCCACAUCAGUGUG
rnacentral:lncRNA from 1 species